rnacentral:rRNA from 1 species
GACGAACGCUGGCGGCGUGCUUAACACAUGCAAGUCGAACGGAAAGGCCCUGCUUUUGUGGGGUGCUCGAUUGGCGAACGGGGGAGUAACACGUGAGUAACCUGCCCUUGACUUUGGGAUAACUUCAGGAAACUGGGGCUAAUACCGGAUAGGAUCUCCUGCUGCAUGGUGGGGGUUGGAAAGUUUCGGCGGUUGGGGAUGGACUGGCGGCUUAUCAGCUUGUUGGGGGGGUAGUGGCUUACCAAGGCUUUGACGGCUAGCCGGCCUGAGAGGGUGGACGGCGACAUUGGGACUGAGAGAGGGCGCAGACUCGUACGGGACGCAGCAGUGGAGAGUAUUGCGCAGUGGGCCGGAGUCUGAUGCAGCAACGCCGCGUGCGGAAUGCCGUCUUACGGGUUGUGAACAGAUUUCUCCUGUGCCGUACAGUGCGUGACGGUACCGAGUCAAGAAGCACCGGCUAACUACGUG